ensembl:lncRNA
AUAUAUAUAUAUAUAUAUAUAUAUAUAUCCCUUAAAGUCAUUUUAUUUUAGAUUUAGUCAAAUUCUAGGUUUAUAUUAAUACAAACUAAAUGGAAUUAUUAAUAGAAAUGAACACUGCCAAACUGUUGUGCUGCCAAAUUUUGUAAACGUUUUCCUGUGUUUGGGUGAUUGUAAAACAGGCUUCGAUGUUGUUGCUUCAUUUACAAACUCAUAUUAAUACAACUACAUGGUUAUAUGCAACUUAUUGGAUAUGUUCAUUUAUACAAUAUUUUGGUAUUAGUGAUCUUUCCUGAUUCAAUCCAGUUAUACUUUACUGUAGGCGGGGCUUCACACCAAAAAACCAUAACACAUUUAUAGUAUAAUGCCUUCAUAUGCCCUACAUAAACAUUCACGUUUAUGCUCAACUGCAGGUUGGUAGAUGUCACUGCAUUAUCUUAUGGCAACUUGCGGUUGAUAAGCUUAGCUGACAUUUGCAUGUAUAAAUGCUUAUGUAGUGAUUAUGACAGUGUUAGGAACUGCUAUGAAUGUGCUAUGUAGCCCUAUGUAUGUAAAGCCCCAUACACUACAAUGUUAAGUAUCCCCUGUUUUCUGUGGUAUUGGCUCUAGCUCUACUCUCUGCCAAACAAGGUGAAAGAUUGAGAUGACAGAUGAAGAAUGGUUUACAUGCAUCCUGUAAUUUAUACAUCUUUCAAUGUAGCCAGUGUUGUUGAUCUGUUUGUUAAUAUUUUGGAUUUGAUUGAUGCUUCUGUCCAAUGUUGUUCACAAGAGUUGAAAUAUGUCGCUAUUUAUGUAUGGAUGUACAAAAUGAGAUUUAUCGUAAUAAACUGCAAAGUAACCUGGUGAAUGUUUGGGAUUACAACUGUGAUCUGCCAUUUCAGUUCAUAUAGACAUUUCAGUUAAUAUGGACAUUCCAGGUCAUAUAGCCAUUUUAGUUCAUACUACAUGGACAUUUCAGUUCAUUUAAAAUUUAAGUUCAUAGGGACACUUCAGUUGAUAUAGUC